GUGGGGAAUAUUGGACAAUGGGCGAAAGCCUGAUCCAGCAAUGCCGCGUGAGUGAUGAAGGCCUUAGGGUUGUAAAGCUCUUUUACCAGGGAUGAUAAUGACAGUACCUGGAGAAUAAGCUCCGGCUAACUCCGUGCCAGCAGCCGCGGUAAUACGGAGGGAGCUAGCGUUGUUCGGAAUUACUGGGCGUAAAGCGCACGUAGGCGGCUACUCAAGUCAGAGGUGAAAGCCCGGGGCUCAACCCCGGAACUGCCUUUGAAACUAGGUAGCUAGAAUCUUGGAGAGGUCAGUGGAAUUCCGAGUGUAGAGGUGAAAUUCGUAGAUAUUCGGAAGAACACCAGUGGCGAAGGCGACUGUCUGGACAAGUAUUGACGCUGAGGUGCGAAAGCGUGGGGAGCAAACAGGAUUAGAUACCCGGGUAGUCC
rnacentral:rRNA from 1 species